rnacentral:rRNA from 1 species
UAGGGAAUCUUCGGCAAUGGACGGAAGUCUGACCGAGCAACGCCGCGCGUGUGAAGAAGGUUUUCGGAUCGUAAAGCUCUGUUGUUAGAGAAGAACGUUGGUAGGAGCGGAAAAUCUACCAAGUGACGGUAACUAACCAGAAAGGGACGGCUAACUACGUGCCAGCAGCCGCGGUAAUACGUAGGUCCCGAGCGUUGUCCGGAUUUAUUGGGCGUAAAGCGAGCGCAGGCGGUUCUUUAAGUCUGAAGUUAAAGGCAGUGGCUUAACCAUUGUACGCUUUGGAAACUGGAGGAAUUGAGUGCAGAAGGGGAGAGUGGAAUUCCAUGUGUAGCGGUGAAAUGCGUAGAUAUAUGGAGGAACCCCGGUGGCGAAAGCGGCUCUAUGGUCUGUAACUGACGCUGGGGCUCGAAAGCGUGGGGAGCAAACAGG